AGAAUCAACGCUGGCGGCGUGCCUAACACAUGCAAGUCGAACGAGAAAGUGGAGCAAUCCAUGAGUAAAGUGGCGCACGGGUGAGUAACACGUGACUAACCUACCCUUGAGUGGGGAAUAACCUACGGGAACCGGGGCUAAUACCGCAUAACACCUACGGGUCAAAGGAGCAAUUCGCUUAAGGAGGGGGUCGCGGCAGAUUAGUUAGUUGGCGGGGUAAUGGCCCACCAAGACGGUGAUCUGUAU
rnacentral:rRNA from 1 species